rnacentral:rRNA from 1 species
GGCUCAGGAUGAACGCUAGCUACAGGCUUAACACAUGCAAGUCGAGGGGCAGCAUGGUCUUAGCUUGCUAAGGCCGAUGGCGACCGGCGCACGGGUGAGUAACGCGUAUCCAACCUGCCUUACACUCUUGGACAGCCUUCUGAAAGGGAGAUUAAUACAAGAUGUUAUCAUGAGUAAGCAUUUUCGCAUGAUUAAAGGUUUACCGGUGUAAGAUGGGGAUGCGUUCCAUUAGAUAGUAGGCGGGGUAACGGCCCACCUAGUCUUCGAUGGAUAGGGGUUCUGAGAGGAAGGUCCCCCACAUUGGAACUGAGACACGGUCCAAACUCCUACGGGAGGCAGCAGUGAGGAAUAUUGGUCAAUGGACGAGAGUCUGAACCAGCCAAGUAGCGUGAAGGAUGAAGGUUCUAUGGAUUGUAAACUUCUUUUAUACGGGAAUAAACGGAUCCACGUGUGGAUUUUUGCAUGUACCGUAUGAAUAAGGAUCGGCUAACUCCGUGCCAGCAGCCGCGGUAAUACGGAGGAUCCGAGCGUUAUCCGGAUUUAUUGGGUUUAAAGGGAGCGUAGAUGGGUUGUUAAGUCAGUUGUGAAAGUUUGCGGCUCAACCGUAAAAUUGCAAUUGAUACUGGCAGUCUUGAGUACAGUUGAGGUAGGCGGAAUUCGUGGUGUAGCGGUGAAAUGCUUAGAUAUCACGAAGAACUCCGAUUGCGAAGGCAGCUUACUAACCUGUAACUGACAUUGAUGCUCGAAAGUGUGGGUAUCAAACAGGAUUAGAUACCCUGGUAGUCCACACGGUAAACGAUGAAUACUCGCUGUAGGCGAUAUACAGUCUGCGGCCAAGCGAAAGCAUUAAGUAUUCCACCUGGGGAGUACGCCGGCAACGGUGAAACUCAAAGGAAUUGACGGGGGCCCGCACAAGCGGAGGAACAUGUGGUUUAAUUCGAUGAUACGCGAGGAACCUUACCCGGGCUUAAAUUGCAACCGAAUAUGGCGGAAACGCUAUAGCUAGCAAUAGCGGUUGUGAAGGUGCUGCAUGGUUGUCGUCAGCUCGUGCCGUGAGGUGUCGGCUUAAGUGCCAUAACGAGCGCAACCCUUGCCGAUAGUUACUAACAGGUCAUGCUGAGGACUCUGUCGGGACUGCCAUCGUAAGAUGUGAGGAAGGUGGGGAUGACGUCAAAUCAGCACGGCCCUUACGUCCGGGGCUACACACGUGUUACAAUGGGGGGUACAGAGGGCUGCUACCACGCAAGUGGAUGCCAAUCCCAAAAACCUCUCUCAGUUCGGAUUGAAGUCUGCAACCCGACUUCAUGAAGCUGGAUUCGCUAGUAAUCGCGCAUCAGCCACGGCGCGGUGAAUACGUUCCCGGGCCUUGUACACACCGCCCGUCAAGCCAUGGGAGCCGGGGGUACCUGAAGUGCGUAACCGCAAGGAGCGCCCUAGGGUAAAACUGGU